GUAAAGAUAAGAUUUUUUUUGCUGUGUAUGUUUCAGAAUAUUAGGAACAGUUUUGAUGCCCUUUCUGAUAUUCUGUCAGGUGUAAUCGUUUUAUUAUUUUAAGCAGCUUAUAAAUCCUGGAUCUGGAAACGUUGUUUGCAGACCUGGAUCCCUGUAAAGGGCAAUCAGCAGUGUGUUCUUUUCUCUCAGGGCCUGGGCGGAGGGCGAGGGGAGGCACACACUUUAAGGGAGUGCCCAAAAUGCAGUAAUCAAGAUAAAUUAACAUUUUUAUGAAGUAUGUUUUAAAUCAAAAUUAAUGCAAAAUAUCCACGAUAAACAAAAUAUCAACAUUUUAGGAGCUUCGUUAGGAAAGUAGUCUCUUCGAGUGCUUAAGGGCCUGGCGUCAGGAGCAGAACUACCUGCGUUUCAAACCAGAUGCUGCUACUUACUAGGUGCCUGACGGUGGCAAAGUUCAUGACUGAUCUCAUCACGUGAGUCCUUCAAAGUGGAGAAUCAUUCCUGGCUGGGUCAGACAGGGGCAGGAGGAGUGAUUCAAAGUGUGAGAGGGACUUGGCCCACCCACCGAUGUUGGCUUUGAAGAUGGAGGAAGGGGACCAGGAGCCAAGGACUGUGAGUGGCCUCUAGAAACUGAGAAUGGCCCCCAGAUGACAACCAGCAAAAAACAGUGACCUUGGUCCUACAACCUCAAGGAGUUGAAUUUUCUUACAACCCAAAUGAACAAGGAAACAGACGGUCCCCUAGAGCCUACAGAAGGGAUUGUGGCCCUGCUGAAACCUUGAGCUUAAGCUGGUGAGACCCACGUUGGACUAAUAACCUACAGAAUUGCAAGUGAGACUCAUCCUCACCUCUCCUGAUCCAGUGAGACCCACAAGAUUUAUCUCACCUGAUUUAAAUCAAGAAGAAGGAACAUAAACAUUUGUCAAGAUGGCCUACAGGUAGACGUAAGUCUUUAUACGGUCCCUUAAGGAGAGAAGAGGGAGAAGACAAGAGAAUGGAGGAGGUGGGAGGGAGACUAGAGAGAAGAGAGACAGAGAGUCAAAGACAGUGACGGAGAGAGGGAGAGACAACAGAGGAGAGAAACAUGGGAAUGGAGGCUUGAUGGAUUUUAAACGAGAGUUAGAGAUUGCAUUCUGCUAUUUUCUUGGAUGUGAGCUCCUGCGUGAAGUCACCUGGAUAUUGAUGUGUGUGGCCCUUGUGUAACUAUUGUUCAGAGCUCCCCACACACUGGAAUCCCAAAUCUCUAGUCUAGACUCUAGGAGUCUGCAGGUGCCCUUUUCAUGGGAGGAAUGCCAGCAGCCCACUUGAAAAACGUCGUCAGAGUUGCAACCACAGGAACCAAAUCAAGAACACUGCAAAGACUGGAGGCAAUCAAGCCUAGGGCUUCCUUUGCUCCCUCGGUCAGACGUCCCCCACUGUUACACUGUCAGGCCAGCGCUGGAGCUACCAGGUGGCACCACUAACAAGAAACUUCCCCACGGGUCUUAGCAAAGGCAUUGGCACUCCUGGAUUAAAUAAAUUACAAAUAAAUCAAUAUUAAUAAUAGCACAAAUCUUGAUGCAAUCACAUUUGAUAAGGACAAAAAUGAACAUUUUGAUAAUUAUUUGAUAUGAAAAAUAAUGAACCUAUUACGGUCCAAUUAUAUUAUUUAAAACUACUAGAAAUGACAUGUUAUUUUUAUGUAUUAUGUCCAUUUCAUGUAUCUAGAGGCUAAAUACAAAUUGAUAUCAACAACUGUGACAUUUAGUUUAACACAUUUAUGGCUUUUAUCUGAAUUGUCCCUAAAUAAACUUGACAGCAUUUACUGGCAGCCCAUCACACACAGCAGCUGGUGGCUUCUGGGAAAAACAUAGUUGAUUUUUAUCAUCUGUGCUAAAGACAAGGCGUCCUGUCUGUUUCAUUGAGAAAUCAAUACAUAUUCUUUUCGAGUCUCCUCUAUAGGCAGAAAGCCAUAUGCCUCACAGCAUUGAUUUGUUGAUAGCAUCUACUUUUCUCCAAAACAAUACUGACAAUUUUGCUUAAAUAAAUGAAAAUUCCAUUUCCACAUUCUCAUGUGGCAGGAACAGUGAGUGAACAAUGAGUCUCAUAAAUGGCCUAGAGUAUCAUUAUUGACAAAGAACAUUCUGAUCCUUCUCUUCAUUCAUUGUCAUGACACCCCUCCCAUGAUUUGAUGCUAUAAUAUCUAUCAGAUACAGUUAGUGUGAGCAAUACAUGCAGCCAUUGACACUAGUUGCACGAAAUGAAGUCAGUAUUCUCUAUUC
ensembl:lncRNA